rnacentral:rRNA from 1 species
GACGAACGCUGGCGGCGUGCUUAACACAUGCAAGUCGAACGGAAAGGCCCUGCUUUUGUGGGGUGCUCGAGUGGCGAACGGGUGAGUAACACGUGAGUAACCUGCCCUUGACUUUGGGAUAACUUCAGGAAACUGGGGCUAAUAUCGGAUAGGAGCUCCUGCUGCAUGGUGGGGGUUGGAAAGUUUCGGCGGUUGGGGCUGGACUCGCGGCUUAUCAGCUUGUUGGUGGGGUAGUGGCUUACCAAGGCUUUGACGGGUAGCCGGCCUGAGAGGGUGACCGGCCACAUGGGGACUGAGGUACGGACCAGAAGCCUACGGGAGGCAGCAGUGGGGAAUAUUGCACAAUGGGCGGAAGCCUGAUGCAGCAACGCCGCGUGCGGGAUGACGGCCUUCGGGUUGUAAACCGCUUUCGCCGGUGACGAAGCGUGAGUGACGGUAAUGGGUAAAGAAGCACCGGCUAACUACGUG